UAUUUGUUUGAUUUCUGUGUGUUGGAUUUUUAAGAUUUAUCUGAUACCAAUUUAUUGGUAUCAGAGCAGGUUAUGAUACCUGCUUUUGAUAUUCUGGAUAUUUUGUGUUAGCCCAAGUUUGCGAGGCAAACUAGGUAUUUGUUUCGGAUGUUAGUAUGGAUUUCCGGUGAUUUCCUUGUACGAAUUUCCGUUAUGGUUAUAUUUCGGAUUUCCGUUUCGGAUUUGUAUAGAUUCCCGACGAUUUACUCGUUCGGAAUUUUGAGGUCAGAAGUUGGGGACUGGACAGCGAUGGAACAUCUCUAGAUGGCAUAUAGGUUGAUGAUGUCAGGAGAGAGUUCCAGUCGCUAGUCCCCUGCUGACCACGAGGGCUUACUAAUCUUUUGGUUUUCUUCUUUAUUAGUUUAUGUUCAGACUUAUUCUGUUUUUGAUACUAUGAAUUUUUGAUAUUAUGGAUCUGGUAUGAAUUUUAUGUGUCGAUGGUUUUUAGUU